rnacentral:rRNA from 1 species
AGGACGAACGCUGGCGGCGUGCUUAACACAUGCAAGUCGAACGGAAAGGCCCUUCGGGGUACUCGAGUGGCGAACGGGUGAGUAACACGUGGGUGAUCUGCCCUGCACUUUGGGAUAAGCCUGGGAAACUGGGUCUAAUACCGAAUAUGACCAUGGGAUGCAUGUCUUGUGGUGGAAAGCUUUUGCGGUGUGGGAUGGGCCCGCGGCCUAUCAGCUUGUUGGUGGGGUUAAGGCCUACCAAGGCGACGACGGGUAGCCGGCCUGAGAGGGUGUCCGGCCACACUGGGACUGAGAUACGGCCCAGACUCCUACGGGAGGCAGCAGUGGGGAAUAUUGCACAAUGGGCGCAAGCCUGAUGCAGCGACGCCGCGUGGGGGAUGACGGCCUUCGGGUCGUAAACUGCUUUAUAAGUGAAGAAUAUGACGGUAACUUAUAGAAUAAGCACCGGCUAACUACGUGCCAGCAGCCGC